GUCAAGGAACAUGAACAACACAUGUUCCCCCCGACUUCCUUGUAUGGGCAUUGCUCCAAGGGCCAACAUGGACCGUGUCAGGAGAUACGACCAAACCAUGUUAGCCACAUGAAUUUUGUAUGGUGAGAGCUCUUUUUUGCACGAUCUUCAACCUUUUUUGCUCUAGUUUGGUCCAUUACCCUUUUAUUACCUGAAAACAUCAAAAGAACGCAAAACACAUAAAAUUGAACUAAAAUGAUGAAAACAAACAUGAGAACGAAAAGAAAAU
rnacentral:lncRNA from 1 species